CAGGAGAAGCAAACUGUUUGCUGCUGCUUGUAUCACUUGAUGAUACUAUACCUUGAUGCGCUCGUACAUGACAUCCCAGUAAGCAACUGCGCGAUACGAUCGAAUGCAUGGGAUAGUACUCUAAUUGCCAAGGUGAUCAAGAAGGAUACUAUCUCUCCUGGUGUGUUCGGCAAAUUACAACUUAAAGAGGAGUAUAGAGGCA